UCUGGGAAGCUGCCUGAUGGAGGGGGAUAACUACUGGAAACGGUAGCUAAUACCGCAUAAUGUCGCAAGACCAAAGAGGGGGACCUUCGGGCCUCUUGCCAUCGGAUGUGCCCAGAUGGGAUUAGCUUGUUGGUGGGGUAACGGCUCACCAAGGCGACGAUCCCUAGCUGGUCUGAGAGGAUGACCAGCCACACUGGAACUGAGACACGGUCCAGACUCCUACGGGAGGCAGCAGUGGGGAAUAUUGGACAAUGGGCGCAAGCCUGAUCCAGCCAUGCCGCGUGUAUGAAGAAGGCCUUCGGGUUGUAAAGUACUUUCCGCGGGGAGGAAG
rnacentral:rRNA from 1 species